rnacentral:RNase_P_RNA from 1 species
GCAGCAGUUGGCUCUGUCGCUGCGAAUCUGCGGGUUCGUGGAGGAAAGUCCGGGCAGCUCAGGGUACCGCACAGCCGAAAGACUGCUAUCCGUGAGGGUAGGGGAACAAAGAAGAAAACAACCGCCUCGAUGAGGUAAGGGUGAGAAGGUGGGGUAAGAGCCCACCAGUGUAAGGGGCAACCUUUACAGCUGUUUGUCCUGCGGGCUGAAAGGCCAUGUAUACCGGCGUAAAAAAAACGACCCGUUUCUGCCGGGGGGUAGGCCGCUUAGAAAAAUGACAGGGACCCUUAGGGGGACAGAACCUGGCUUAUACAACUGCUGUCUUU